UACGUAGGGCGCAAGCGUUAUCCGGAAUUAUUGGGCGUAAAGAGCUCGUAGGCGGUUCGUCGCGUCGGCUGUGAAACCCGGGGCUCAACCCCGGGCCUGCAGUCGAUACGGGCAGACUAGAGUGCGGUAGGGGAGACUGGAAUUCCUGGUGUAGCGGUGAAAUGCGCAGAUAUCAGGAGGAACACCGGUGGCGAAGGCGGGUCUCUGGGCCGUAACUGACGCUGAGGAGCGAAAGCGUGGGGAGCGAACAGG
rnacentral:rRNA from 1 species